rnacentral:rRNA from 1 species
UGAAUACGAGACGCUAAGGCGUCGAAGUAGUGUAAGUCAUACUUCCAAGAAAAGCUUGCACUGUCAUAAGUAAAAAAUGCCUGUACCAUAACCGACACAGGUGGGUAGGUAGAGUAUACUAAGGGGCGCGAGAUAACUCUCUCUAAGGAACUCGGCAAAAUAACUCCGUAACUUCGGGAGAAGGAGUACCUUAUUCUAUAAGGUUGCAAUAACAAGAUCCAAGCAACUGUUUAUCAAAAACACAGGUCUCCGCUAAGUCGUAAGACGAUGUAUGGGGGCUGACGCCUGCCCAGUGCCAGAAGGUUAAAGAAGUCGGUUAGCAUUAGCGAAGCUGGUAACUGAAGCCCUGGUGAACGGCGGCCGUAACGAUAACGGUCCUAAGGUAGCGAAAUUCCUUGUCGGGUAAGUUCCGACCCGCACGAAAGGCGUAAUGAUUUGGAUACUGUCUCGGAGAGGGGCUCGGUGAAAUAGACUUGUCUGUGAAGAUGCGGACUACCUGCACCGGGACAGAAAGACCCUAUGAAGCUUUACUGUAACUUGAAAUUGAAAUUGGACUUUAUUCGCGCAGUAUAGGUGGGAGGUGUUGAUUAUAAUCUUGCGGGAUUAUUGGAGCCAUCAGUGAGAUACCACUCUUGUAAUGUUAGAUUUCUAACUUUGAAUCAUUAUCUGGUCAAAGGACAGUUUCAGGCGGGCAGUUUGACUGGGGCGGUCGCCUCCCAAACGGUAACGGAGGCGUACAAAGGUUUCCUCUGAACGGGUAGAAAUCGUAUCUAGAGUGUAAAGGCAUAAGGAAGCUUGACUGUGAGACCUACAAGUCGAACAGGGACGAAAGUCGGUCUUAGUGAUCUGACGGUACUGAGUGGAAAGGCCGUCACUCAACGGAUAAAAGUUACUCUAAGGAUAACAGGCUGAUCUCCCCCAAGAGUUCACAUCGACGGGGAGGUUUAGCACCUCGAUGUCGGCUCAUCGCAUCCUGGGGCGGUAGUACGUCCCAAGGGUUGGGCUGUUCGCCCAUGAAAGCGGUACGCGAGCUGGGUUCAGAACGUCGUGAGACAGUUCGGUCCAUAUCCGGUGUAGGCGUUAGAAUAUUGAGAGGAGCCUUCUUUAGUACGAGAGGACCGAGAAGGACAUACCUCUGGUGUACCAGUUAUCGUGCCAACGGUAAACGCUGGGUAGCUAUGUAUGGAGUGGAUAACCGCUGAAAGCAUCUAAGUGGGAAGCCCACCUCAAGAUGAGUGCUCUCACAGGGUUAACCUGGUAAGGUCACGGGAAGACCACCCGCUAAUAGGCACUAGGUGGAAGUCCAGUAAUGGAUGGAGCCAAGGUGUACUAACAGACCGAGGGC